CUUUCUUUUAUUCUCUCUCUCUCUCUUUUUUUAUUUUAAACCUUUUUUUUCUUUUUCUUUUUUUUACUUUGGGUGUAUAUGCCUUCGAACAUUUAACUUUAACAAUUGUGCUGAAAAUAUAUAUGUGUGGAUCUAACGCGGCAGAUGAGUGGCAGAGGAGCUGGGGAGCCAUCAGCUGCAGCGGCUGGUGGAUCUGCUGACGGUGCACGAGUGUGAGGAGCUCUUCCUGGCCCUAACCAAUCCCGAGGAGAAGGUUUUUAAACAGCUGCAGCGCCUGUCUGCAGAGAAGAACCCGCUGAGACCACACCCCCGCACACCACGAGACAUAGGUACAGAGUUUCACUUCACUGAUCUUUACCUUCUCUUAACGUCUCCUCAGGCAGAACAAAUCCACACGCAAGAUCUUCAGUCUGUUGUAAAGGAUGAAAUAUGAGCCUGUUUUUUUACUUUGAUACAGUGGUGCUUGAAAGUUUGUGAAUCUUGCAUAAAUAUGACCUAAAACAUCAAUAGAUAAGUUAAGAUAAGGUAAUAGACAAAAAUGUUCUAGUCUUAUAGUUUAAUGACCCA
rnacentral:lncRNA from 1 species